AUUGAACGCUGGCGGCAGGCUUAACACAUGCAAGUCGAGCGGAGAUGAGGUGCUUGCACCUUAUCUUAGCGGCGGACGGGUGAGUAAUGCUUAGGAAUCUGCCUAUUAGUGGGGGACAACAUUCCGAAAGGAAUGCUAAUACCGCAUACGCCCUACGGGAGAAAGCAGGGGAUCUUCGGACCUUGCGCUAAUAGAUGAGCCUAAGUCGGAUUAGCUAGUUGGUGGGGUAAAGGCCUACCAAGGCGACGAUCUGUAGCGGGUCUGAGAGGAUGAUCCGCCACACUGGGACUGAGACACGGCCCAGACUCCUACGGGAGGCAGCAGUGGGGAAUAUUGGACAAUGGGGGGAACCCUGAUCCAGCCAUGCCGCGUGUGUGAAGAAGGCCUUAUGGUUGUAAAGCACUUUAAGCGAGGAGGAGGCUACUGAGACUAAUACUCUUGGAUAGUGGACGUUACUCGCAGAAUAAGCACCGGCUAACUCUGUGCCAGCAGCCGCGGUAA
rnacentral:rRNA from 1 species